GUUGGUUUUCUUCGGACACUCUUCAAGGUGCUGCAUGGUUGUCGUCAGCUCGUGCCGUGAGGUGUCGGGUUAAGUCCCAUAACGAGCGCAACCCUUACUGUUAGUUGCCAGCGGGUAAUGCCGGGAACUCUAGCGGGACUGCCACCGUAAGGUGAGAGGAAGGUGGGGAUGACGUCAAAUCAGCACGGCCCUUAUGUCCAGGGCUACACACGUGUUACAAUGGCCGGUACAAAGGGCAGCUACACCGCGAGGUGAUGCUAAUCUCGAAAGCCGGUCUCAGUUCGGAUCGAAGUCUGCAACCCGACUUCGUGAAGUUGGAUUCGCUAGUAAUCGCGCAUCAGCCAUGGCGCGGUGAAUACGUUCCCGGGCCUU
rnacentral:rRNA from 1 species